GCUCCGAUGGCCUAGUGGUUAGAGCGUCCGACUCGGAUGUGUGAGGCCGUGGGUUCGAUCCCCGUCUGAGUCA